rnacentral:rRNA from 1 species
CGACCGGCGCACGGGUGAGUAACACGUAUGCAACCUGCCCGUCUCAGGGGGAUAAUCGUCGGAAACGGCGUCUAAUACCCCGUAUGAAGCUGGAUGGCAUCGUCUGGUUUUGAAAGAAUAUCGGAGACGGAUGGGCAUGCGGCGCAUUAGCUAGUUGGCGGGGUAACGGCCCACCAAGGCGACGAUGCGUAGGGGUUCUGAGAGGAAGGUCCCCCACACUGGUACUGAGACGCGGACCAGACUCCUACGGAAGGCAGCAG